AGUUUGUCGUUUCCUAUGGACAGUGAUUCUGAAGUGAAGCCAUUCCAGCAGACUGUGCACAGACAAAAACACUAGGCCCGAAAUGUCAUACAGAAAUCACUGUUGCACUCUCUGGUGGAGUAUUAUAAUUGUCAGACACUAGGAAAGUAGACAUCAAUCAGCACAUCCAUGCCAUAUAUUAGAGUGAAUGGAUGGAGCAGUUACACUAGGCGUUGGUGUGGAGAGAAGUAUUUUAGCUGUUGUCAAAUCAGGACAGACAUUGCACUUGCAGAGCUCUGGAGGAGAAAGGCACAGUCCCGGCAGCAGGAAUUGCAGCUGCUCUUCAGCAGUCAGCGCUGGCAGCGGCAGGGCCUCAGGCACAAAUGUGCGGUGCUGCAUCCCCCUGAUGCCAAACACCCAGGUACUGCUCUGAGGGGAUUGCUGCUUGGGGCUGCUGACUGGUUAAAAAAGAAACAGACCCCUUCAUGUAGCCAAAGUGACCCCCGCCUGGGAGCCCACUCUUCUGCCCCUCCUGGCCUCUUUGGCCCCGGGAUGUGUGGUGUCUGGCUGGUUUGCCCUCCGAGAUCCUCAGACAUUCACCAGGAACAAAUAGUCGUGGACAUGGCAAAAUGUUCGUGGCGUAGUAAUUUGCUUUUAAGUUGUCAGUUCUGGCCAUUUUCUACUCAGUGGUCCUUUAUAACGUUUAUAAACACCUCUUAG
rnacentral:lncRNA from 1 species